CCAGGAAGUUGUGGGGGCAGCAGCAGACGUGCGAGGUGAUUAAUAACAACAUAGAUAACUUCUGCUGAGGAAUUUCACAAGCUGAGCUUUAACAGGCAUUAACUCACUUAAUCCUCGCACCAAGUCUCAGAGAUUACAAAUUCAAAUGCCUAACUGGUCCAGGAAAACAACUGGAAAUGAGGGGAGAGAGCUGAGUGGAGAAUGUCAUGCACUGGUGGGCUUGUAUCUAUCCAAGAACAGAAGCCUUCCUGAGCUCUAGCUGACUGAUGCCAGAAAGAAGCUUCACUGAUGCAUUACAUUCGUUGCUAUGCAAUGUCAAGGAAUACUAUCAUUAUGAUUAGUACCAUCUGCAACAAAUGAGAGGAAGCAACACACAACAGAGCUGAAGAUUCAGAGCCUCUCUCCCAGCUGACUUGGAUUGUCACCUCCCCGGAUGGUUCCUUCAGCUCUAACAUUUGUAGGAUCAAAGCUGUAACCAUCCAGUCAUCACUCUUCACAUGCAGAGCACACACAUGGGUUUGGAACCAAUUGAGAGAUGCAGCCAAGAAUCAAGCACUUGAAGAUCAAAGUGAUGGCUUUGUAACUGACAAAGCCUGGGUUGGAGAACACAGCUUAGAUAAAGCACAGAAGAUUCAAGCUGCCUCCGGUCUUAAGAAGUUAACAUGGAAUUUGGCUGUUUCAAAAAUUAAAAUCUGCUUACA
rnacentral:lncRNA from 1 species